rnacentral:rRNA from 1 species
UACGGGGGGAGCAAGCGUUGUUCGGAUUUACUGGGCGUAAAGGGCGCGUAGGCGGUCAGCACAAGUCAGUUGUGAAAUCUCCGGGCUUAACUCGGAAAGGUCAACUGAUACUGUGCGACUAGAGUGCAGAAGGGGCAACUGGAAUUCUCGGUGUAGCGGUGAAAUGCGUAGAUAUCGAGAGGAACACCUGCGGCGAAGGCGGGUUGCUGGGCAAUUCCUGACGCUGAGGCGCGAAAGCGUGGGGAGCAAACAGG